rnacentral:rRNA from 1 species
UAGGGAAUCUUCGGCAAUGGACGAAAGUCUGACCGAGCAACGCCGCGUGAGUGAAGAAGGUUUUCGGAUCGUAAAACUCUGUUGUUAGAGAAGAACAAGGACGUUAGUAACUGAACGUCCCCUGACGGUAUCUAACCAGAAAGCCACGGCUAACUACGUGCCAGCAGCCGCGGUAAUACGUAGGUGGCAAGCGUUGACCGGAUUUAUUGGGCGUAAAGCGAGCGCAGGCGGUUUCUUAAGUCUGAUGUGAAAGCCCCCGGCUCAACCGGGGAGGGUCAUAGGAAACUGGGAGACUUGAGUGCAGAAGAGGAGAGUGGAAUUCCAUGUGUAGCGGUGAAAUGCGUAGAUAUAUGGAGGAACACCAGUGGCGAAGGCGGCUCUCUGGUCUGUAACUGACGCUGAGGCUCGAAAGCGUGGGGAGCAAACAGG